AGUGAACGCUGGCGGUAGGCCUAACACAUGCAAGUCGAACGGCAGCACAGUAAGAGCUUGCUCUUACGGGUGGCGAGUGGCGGACGGGUGAGGAAUACAUCGGAAUCUACUUUUUCGUGGGGGAUAACGUAGGGAAACUUACGCUAGUACCGCAUACGACCUACGGGUGAAAGCAGGGGAUCUUCGGACCUUGCGCGAUUGAAUGAGCCGAUGUCGGAUUAGCUAGUUGGCGGGGUAAAGGCCCACCAAGGCGACGAUCCGUAGCUGGUCUGAGAGGAUGAUCAGCCACACUGAACUGAGACACGGUCCAGACUCCUACGGGAGGCAGCAGUGGGGAAUAUUGGACAAUGGGCGCAAGCCUGAUCCAGCCAUACCGCGUGGGUGAAGAAGGCCUUCGGGUUGUAAAGCCCUUUUGUUGGGAAAGAAAAGCAGCAGGUUAAUACCCCGCUGUUCUGACGGUACCCAAAGAAUAAGCACCGGCUAACUUCGUG
rnacentral:rRNA from 1 species